rnacentral:piRNA from 1 species
UGUGUCUUUCCUUCUGUGUGUGCU